UAGCUCAGCGGCAUAAGCGCCUGCCUUGCAAGCAGGCAGUCGUGAGUUCGAUCCUUAC
rnacentral:tRNA from 1 species